rnacentral:rRNA from 1 species
CGGAGGGUGCAAGCGUUAUCCGGAUUCACUGGGUUUAAAGGGUGCGUAGGUGGGUCCGUAAGUCAGUGGUGAAAUCUCCGAGCUUAACUUGGAAACUGCCAUUGAUACUAUAGAUCUUGAAUAUUGUGGAGGUCAGCGGAAUAUGUCAUGUAGCGGUGAAAUGCUUAGAUAUGACAUAGAACACCAAUUGCGAAGGCAGCUGGCUACACAUAUAUUGACACUGAGGCACGAAAGCGUGGGGAUCAAACAGGAUUAGAUACCCUGGUAGUCCACGCCCUAAACUAUGGAUACUCGACAUUUGCGAUACACUGCAAGUGUCUGAGCGAAAGCAUUAAGUAUCCCACCUGGGAAGUACGAUCGCAAGAUUG